rnacentral:tRNA from 10 species
GGGCCUGUGGGUUAGUCUGGUCUAUGCUUGUUCGUUUGGGACGAACAGACUCUGGUUCAAAUCCAGGCAGGCCCACCA